rnacentral:lncRNA from 1 species
UUUGCUACUGUGUCUUUUUUUUUUUUUUUUUUUUUUUUUUUUGAGACAGAGUCUUGCUCUGUCGCCCAGGCUGGAUUGCAGUGGUGCUAUCUCGGCUCAAUGCAAGCUCCAUCUCCCGGGUUCACACCAUUAUCCUGCCUCAGCCUCCCGAGUAGCUGGGACUACAGGCAUCCGCCACCACACCUGGCUAAUUUUUUGUGUUUUUAGUAGAGACGGGGUUUCACUGUGUUAGUCAGGAUGGUCUCAAUCUCCUGACCUUGUGAUCCACCCACCUCGGCCUCCCAAAGUGCUGGGAUUACAGGCAUGAGCCACCGCACCUGGCCGCUACUGUGUCAUUUUCUAAAGCAUCCUAUGCCAAAGUGUAGAGAAGAAGCAUUGGUUUAAUCAAGUGGUACAUUUUAAAAACUGAAUGGAAUAAUAGAAAAUGAAGAAAUGGAGCCUAUGAUAUUUUGCCUGGUGUGGACUAGAUAUCUUAGUUGACUGAGAUUAAAGAUAUGGAUUAGAAGAGACUGAUAUACAGAGGAGAAUUAGGAGUGUCCUUGUUGAUAAAAGAAUAAAUGCAUUGAGAAUCAGAAGAGAAAGAGGAGUCUUUUUGGCAAAAGGGUGAGUUUAUAUUUAGCAUUUAAAUAGAGCUGUUCAAGGAGAUGACAGAGUGGAGUCUGUUGCAAUUGGAUGGGGAGGCUAAAGUGGAGUGGACUUCCAGGUCACUCAAGUGCUACUAAACUAAGAGACUAACAUGGCUGUUGAGUUAUGCUUACUUCUAUUUUCUGUGAAUAGAUUAACAUUCUAACUGAACUUACUUCUGAAGAAUUUCAUCUUAAAAUUGCCAUUUACUUCUUUCAAAGCUUAAUGAAAAAGUGGAGUAAACUCAUUACCUCUAUUUCAUCAUCAGUCACUUCAUCUGACGGGGUAUUGAUAACUUCUUGUUUUCAAUUUCUAUCUUCCUCAGGGAUAUUUCUACAACAUCUGAAGGCAUUGAUUUUACCUGGUUAGAUAUUAUCUUCUCAAAUUUACUGCACAGCAACGUGCACUCUCAAUUCUCUUCCAUCUCUGAUGAUUAUUUCCACGUCUCCUCUUUGGCAGCUUUCCUUAAGACAUAUCUGUCUAAAUAUACAAGAUUUACUGACCAAUAGUUUUGUCUGUUUCAUUGGUUCACAAAGCUUCAACAAAUGUCAUUUUCAUGAACAUUACUGUCAAAUCUAUUUUUUAAUAAGAAUUUUUAAAAAUAGUUUGAAAAUUAUAAUCUUAUAGAGACUUAUUAUGAUGAAAUAGCUGAUAUUCAUUUAUUCAUUUCCAAAUUCAAAUUGCUAAUUAAUUGCUGGACAUUUCAAGUAAGUAUAUGAUCUCUUGGCUCCUCAAAUCCAACAUAAGAAAAACAAACUUACUUCUUUUUAAAUCAAACUUCAUCUUCCCUAUUUAGUAAACACUUUCACAAUUAUUUUUUAAUACAAUAAACAAUAAUUUAUUGGCUCACAGUUCUGGAGGCUGGGAAGUCCAAGAUCAAGAUGCCAACAUCUUGCAAGGGUCUUCUUGCUGUGUCAUCAUGUGGUGGAAGGUGAGAGGGUAAGCGGGAGUGAAUCCACUUUUUCAAGCCCUUUUUAUGAUGGCAUUAAUCCAUUCAUGAGGGCUCUGCCUUUGUGACUUAAUUACCUCCUUAAGGCCCUACCUUCCAACAUUAUAACAUUGGGUGGGUUAGGUUUCAACCUGUGAAUUUUGGAGGGGACACACACAUUCAAACCAUAGCACUGAAGUAUCAGAAAAUGAACUAUUUGAAUGUUGAAAUUACCAAGAAUUAUGACAGGAUUAGAAUUGGAGAGAAACGAGUACAAUUUACCAGUAGAAAGUAUUAGAAGACAAAUAAACAUAUACAGCAAAUGACCCAUUUGUACAUAGGAAUCAUUUCAUAUAUAUGAAUUCAUAAUUUAAGAUGAUUGUUCAAAUUUGUGUGGAAAGGACGGGAUACACUGUAAAUGAUAUUGGAACAACUCUAUUCACUGGGAAAAUAAUACAGUUUUACUCAUUCCUCACGCUAUCUACAAGAGUAACUUUUAAAGUGACUAAAUUCUCAUAAUAUUGAGAUGCAGAAAGUUUUCCUAAGUCUGAGAUCACAAGAAAUGGUAAUAGUUAAUAUUUAUUGCACCAUGUCCUAUGGUGGUUACCAUUCUAAGAACUUGGUUUUUAAUUUACCUUUUUUUAUAAGUUCAGGGGUACAUGUGUAGAUUUGUUAUAUAGGUAAAGUUUGUCAUGAGGGUUUGUUGUAUAGAUUAUUUCAUCAUCCAGGUAUUAAGCCUAGUACCCAUUAAUUAUGUUUUCUGAUCCUCUCCUCCUCCCAGCCUCUACCCUCAAGAAGGCCCCAGUGUCUGUUGUUGCUCUCUACGUGUUCAUGUGUUCUCGUCAUUCAGCUCCCACUUAUAAGUGAGAAUAUGGGAUAUUUGUUUUCUUUUUUUUUUUUUUCCUGUUCCUGCAUUAGUUUGCUAAGGAUAAUGACCUCCAGCUACUUUCAUGUUCCCACAAAGGCCAUGAUCGUGUUCUUUAUUUUGGCUGCAUAGUAUUCUGUGGUGUAUAUGUACCACAUUUUCUUUAUUCAGUCUGCUAUCGAUGGGCAUUUAGGUUGAUUCUGUGUCUUUGCUAUUGUGAAGAGCACUGCAAUGAACAUGUGCAUGCAUGUGUCUUUAUGGUAGCAUGAUUUAUGUUCCUUUGGGCAUAUACCUAGUCAUGGGAUUGCUGGGGUGAAUGAUAGUUCUGUUUUCAGCUCUUUGAGGGAUCCAUCAUACUAUCUUCCAUAAUGGUUAAUAUACUUUAUACUCCUACCAACAUUGUAUAAGCAUUCCCUUUUCUCCACAACCUCACCAGCAUCUGUUAUUUGUUGACUUUUUAAUAGUAGCCAUUCUGACUUUUGUGAGAUGAUAUUUCAUUGUGGUUUUGAUUUGCAUUUCCCUAAUGAUCAGUGGUGUUGAGCUAUUUUUCAUGUAAUUGUUGCCUACAUGUACAACCCCAUUAAAAAGUGGGCAAAAGACAUGAACAGACACUUUUCAAAACAACACAAUUAUUUCACUCAUUUGAACUGUAAGACCUCUACUUUAGUCAUAACCCAAAUCUCUAGCCUGCUUUUUUGUUGUUGUUGCAGUUGGAAUCUGGUGCCCUUUAUAAACUUCAGUAUGCUCUGUGACUCCUGUCUUUAUUGCUCCUACAUCCUUUUACUCUUGCUAUUUUGUCAACCUAGAAUAACUUGUUCAUUCUUCUCUGCCUGGUGAAAUUCUACCCAUUCCAAUAGGUACUGGUUCAGAUAUAUCCUUUACUCCAUAAUCAUUAGAGGAAUAACCAUGAAGCAUACAUAUUAUGUUCUCUAUUUUUAUUUUUUAAUAUCCAACUUUAUACACUCAUUCUGCAGAUACUAAACCUGUUUGAAAAUCUCUCAUCAAAAGACUGUGUUUUCUAAUUAAGUAUUGAAUGAAUAUUUUAUACAUUUAUUAUUUAAUGAAUCUCUUUGCCUUAUUGGUAUUUUUUCUAUAAAUCCAUGAAUGUCUUUUGAUUUAGCAUCUGCCUUUAAACUUAUACUUUCGUACUUCAUUUUUGGAGGAUUUAUAAAUUAUUAAAUAUACUUUUUGAAAAUGAAAAUGGCAUCUCAUUGAGAGUCUUACUGAAGACCUAGUAAAAUCAAUAGCUUUUUACUUUCAGGAGGCCUGCAUUAUUGUUGUCGAGUUCAAAAUCAUCUUUCAAAAUCAAGAAUUGACAUCAGUUCAUUACCCACGGGUGAGUACACACAUACACACACAUGCACACACACACCAUAUUUACACAUAGGUGCUGAGAAUCUGUUCAGUGAUAUAUUUGCAAAUAAUCUUCAAAAAUAUGAUUUUCAUAUUUGUGUGGACCUAUUUAUGCAUUUCCUCAUUCCUCAUAUCAAUUAACCUAUUAACCAAGAAUUACAAGAAUAUAGAAAGGAAGAAUGAGACAGUGACAGUGUUUGUUCCUAAACAGAGACUGUUAGAAAAUUCAAUAUGAUAAGAAAAUAAAUGAUAAGGCAAAGCCUACUACCUGAUUUCCAGGUUUAAUUCGCAUUUACUGUUUUACCAAUUCUGGAAAUAAGGAAUAUGGUUAUUUUUAUUACUAUCUGUGCUUAUGUAGUAACCAGCCUCCAUCAAAGAAAAUGUGAAAUGUAGUAGAAAAAAGAAAGUAGCAAAAGUUUAAAAAUAGCUUAAUUUCACAGUAAUUCAAGUAAUCAUACUAUGCUAUGCCAUUAGUGAAGAAAUGAGAUUUCCUCUGGAAAUCUCUUCUCCAGUCCCAGGCCUUUUGCUUUAUAUUAGAUUCUAGUAAAGCCACAAAAUAUUUAUCUAUAUUAUAUGUUAUGACAUUUUAUGUUAAGAAAUAUAAUAAAGUGUUUCAUCAUUUAUACACAUUUCUUUAUUCAUAAUUUCACUUUUCGUGUUCUACUGACUGAAGUAGCUAUAACAUUUUUUUUCUGAAUGUACAGACUGCUGAGGCCUAGAUUAAAAACCUAUAUUUAGUUAGUUUGUUUGCAUUUCAUUUCCUGUAUCUGUGAGAAAAUGAAUGCUUAAAUGACUUUUAGCAUGGUUGCUUAAGUAUUUGUUCCUUUUCCUGUUGUGGUGGCAAGAGUCUUAUUAAAUUUUGUUUUAAGGUGGAUACUUUAAGUGGCCUUUCUUUGUAUAAACUGAAAAACUGGCAAUUUUAAGGAACAUUUAAAGGUAGAUACAGUUAAAAUAAAACAUUUAUUUGCAUUGCUCUUGGAGAUAAGAAUGAAAAACAUUUAAAACAAGAAAGAGAUCUUUUUUAGGAUUUUUAUUUUUGAAAUGUAUUAUGAGAAAAUUUUGAGUAAACUAUGUUAAAUUUAAUUAACUACAGUAAUGUAGGAUUAAAUACAAUAAAAUUUUUUAUUACUUUUUACUGUAUUGUUUCUUAUAAGUUUUUAUUUUUCUCAACAAGAUAUAUUCUCUUUCACUUUAAAGAGAAGUCUAAUAAUACUAAUUAAGCCCUAGUAUAAAUUCUGGUAUUGAAAUUAUGCUUGUUUGUAAUUAUUAAAAGGGCUUUAAGAUAACAGUUUUUGGGAAAAGGGGCUUAAGACAACAGGCUCUUUGGGUUUAUUAUUAUUUAUAGCAGUUGACUAAAAAAUAAGUAGUGAUAUUAUUAGUAGUAAUACUACUAUUAGUAUUAUAAUAGUAGUAAUACUAUUAGUAGUAUAAUAGUAGUAAUACUAUUAGUAGUAUAAUAGUAGUAAUACUAUUAGUAGUAAUACCACUAUUAGUAUUAUAAUAGUAGUAAUACUAAAAUCAAGUCAUAGACUCUAAAAUGGACAUGCAUCUUUUCAUUAAUAUUGCAAGACAGUAGCAAAAGUUGUCAAAGAGCUGAGUACAGAUAGGUUCCAAAAACUGACAGUGAAACAAAACCAUUUAUUCAUUCAUCACUGAUUUCAAUGUACAGAUACAAGGCAAACGUUGAAAUGCCUAGGUAUAUCUAAUAAAGAGUCACCGAGUCAUCAAAAAUCACUACAAGGCAGUUUGAGAAAAAAUGGCAGCAUGAAGGCAAACAUUCUGUUUACUACCAUUCUUAAAACUAUCUAAAACAACCAAAAAAUAAAAAUCAAGGAAAAGUAUGUUAAUAAAGCAGAGAAAGUAAAAAUUCGAAACCAAAAAUAUGAAGAAAAAUAAUUCAUACCAUAAAUUUGAAUAUAUAUGAAGUACAAUGUUGACAGCAUAUAUGCAAAUCAAUAAACCUCAGGUGGAUGUACACUUUCCUAGAAGUAGUAAAGUAACUGUCACAUCUUUAAGGUUCCACCUACCAAUCUGAAUUACAGUGAGCAUAUCUAACAGUGAGGGCCUACCAUGGAAAAAGCGUGUGUGUAUGUGUGUGCGCGCACGCGCAUACACACAUAACAUAAUGUUAUGUUAGACAUAGCAUUAUGCUUAAGCAGAUCCAGAUAUGCAUGAAUAUAUUGGAGAGACACUGGACUCAUGCCAAAAUUGAAUUUUGAUUUUUCAUAGCCUAUGUAUAUGACAGAGAUUAUUGUGGCGAGAUGGCAUAAAAGAAGGAGAAGCAGCAAUUGCAAGAUUAUCACAGCUGAAUUCCUUCAGUAAUUGCCACUAACUUGCUGAAAUUAAGGAGAGACGUCCUUUCAGGGCAAUAAUCUUCUGGGGAAGAGAUGUUUUAUCGAAAACAUGAAAUUAAAAUGUUCUCUAGUUCUCUCUUUUCAUUAUUUUCCCUCUUGAGUUGAGUGAUUUUCAAAGGUUAAUACUAAAAACAAAUAAACCAUCAUGGAACUAGAGAACAUAAACUUAAGCAAAUGAAAAGGAAUGUAGCAAAAUGUAGAUAAAUAAUAUUGCAAAAGGAGUGGCCUAAAGAAUCUUCUGAGGGUAGACAAACAAUGCUUCAUAGUUUCAAAGAAAUUACAGAAUGUUACACAUAAAAUGAAUUAAAGGAGAGAUGUUAAGAAAAGAUAUAAAGAGGGAAUAUGAAUUUAAAGAAGUGAUCAUUAAAAGAAAUAACUACAAAAGAAAUAGAAAACAUUUAAGAGAUGAGAGACAUAAUAAAAAUAACAAAAUGUAGACUCAACAGGAAAGAAAAUAGAGUCAAGUAAGGAUACAAUGGCUAUGCUCGGUAAAAUCACACAAAAAAUGAAAAACAAUUUCAUUAAAAUGAUUUGAAAGAUGAUAGAUAUUAUAGAGAGA